rnacentral:rRNA from 1 species
UACGUAGGGGGCUAGCGUUGUCCGGAAUCAUUGGGCGUAAAGCGCGUGUAGGCGGUCCGGUAAGUCCGCUGUGAAAGUCGAGGGCUCAACCCUCGAAUGCCGGUGGAUACUGUCGGGCUAGAGUGCGGAAGAGGCGAGUGGAAUUCCUGGUGUAGCGGUGAAAUGCGCAGAUAUCAGGAGGAACACCUAUUGCGAAGGCAGCUCGCUGGGACGUUACUGACACUGAGGAGCGAAAGCGUGGGGAGCAAACAGG